CCUACGGGAGGCAGCAGUGGGGAAUAUUGGGCAAUGGGCGCAAGCCUGACCCAGCAACGCCGCGUGAAGGAAGAAGGCCCUCGGGUUGUAAACUUCUUUUUUCAGGGACGAAGCAAGUGACGGUACCUGAGGAAUAAGCCACGGCUAACUACGUGCCAGCAGCCGCGGUAAUACGGAGGUGGCAAGCGUUAUCCGGAUUUACUGGGUGUAAAGGGCGUGUAGGCGGGGAGGCAAGUCAGAUGUGAAAACCACGGGCUCAACCUGUGGCCUGCAGUUGAAACUGUGUUUCUUGAGUACUGGGGAGGCAGACGGAAUUCGUAGUGUAGCGGUGAAAUGCGUAGAUAUUAGGAGGAACACCAGUGGCGAAGGCAGUCUGCUGGACAGCAACUGACGCUGAGGCGCGAAAGCGUGGGGAGCGAACAGGAUUAGAUACCCCAGUAGUC
rnacentral:rRNA from 1 species